rnacentral:rRNA from 1 species
GACGAACGCUGGCGGCGUGCUUAACACAUGCAAGUCGAACGGAAAGGCCCUGCUUGCAGGGUGCUCGAGUGGCGAACGGGUGAGUAACACGUGGGUGAUCUGCCCCUUACUUUGGGAUAAGCCUGGGAAACUGGGUCUAAUACUGGAUAGGACCAUGCUGUAGGUGGUGUGGUGGAAAGAUUUUUUCGGUAAGGGAUGAGCUCGCGGCCUAUCAGCUUGUUGGUGGGGUAAUGGCCUACCAAGGCGUCGACGGGUAGCCGGCCUGAGAGGGUGGACGGCCACAUUGGGACUGAGAUACGGCCCAGACUCCUACGGGAGGCAGCAGUGGGGAAUAUUGAACAAUGGGCGCAAGCCUGAUGCAGCGACGCCGCGUGGGGGAUGACGGCCUUCGGGUUGUAAACUCCUUUCAGCCAUGACGAAGCCUCUUUUGGGGUGACGGUAGUGGUAGAAGAAGCACCGGCUAACUACGUG